UGUUGCGACAUUCACUCUCUCCGUGGGCUCUAAAUGGUUGACUUGUUAAUCCACAGCGAUAUAGGACCAUUUUAAAGCAUGUGUUAUCAAUUUAUCCGACCCCAAAAACGAGUUUGAGAUCGACAGACAGAAAAUGAACCUGCUGUGCUGUGUUGCUGUGUACCCGGAGGUUUGAAAUGAAUAAAUAAGGUGUUUCUCUCCAUCCCGGCAGUGGACCGCGGGAGAUGCUGCGGCUGCAUUGAUAGAGUUGAGCGAUUCGUACAAAAGUGGACGAGGCAGCAUCAACCGGAUAGGAUAUCAACCUCCUAGCACUUAUUGCGAUAGACUGAGUCAAUGUUGUUGUAUGACAGCAAGAUGCACUGACUGUGGACCGGACCAGAAAAUGCAUCGUUUCAGAGGCGAAAUAUGAACGCACAUUCCACUUUGGUUUUCUUUUAUUUGCAAGGCGUUGAGGCGCAGUGAUAUAUUUCCGUGGAUCUGAGCGGUUUAUGCAACUUUUCCCGGUCCCUUUUCCAUGAUAACGGCGAACCCGUGCUUGGUUUACCUGGAAUUUUACCAGGAUCAUGUGGACCCCGACGGAAGAGGAGAAAAUCGGAGUUGUGAUCUGUACAUUUCGUGGGACGGUGACCCAUGGUCUGGCUCUGGAGAUAGGAGAGACAGUCCAAAUACUGGAGAAAUGUCAAGGAUGGUACCGAGGAUCCUCCACCAGGAAACCCACAAUCAAGG